rnacentral:rRNA from 1 species
AGGAUGAACGCUAGCGACAGGCUAACACAUGCAAGUCGAGGGGCAGCACGGGAGUAGCAAUACAACUGGUGGCGACCGGCGCACGGGUGAGUAACGCGUAUGCAACCUACCUAUCAGAGGGGAAUAACCCGGCGAAAGUCGGACUAAUACCGCAUAAAACAGGGGCACCGCAUGGUGAUAUUUGUUAAAGAGAUUCGCUGAUAGAUGGGCAUGCGUUCCAUUAGGUAGUUGGUGAGGUAACGGCUCACCAAGCCGACGAUGGAUAGGGGAACUGAGAGGUUGGUCCCCCACACUGGUACUGAGACACGGACCAGACUCCUACGGGAGGCAGCAGUGAGGAAUAUUGGUCAAUGGGCGGGAGCCUGAACCAGCCAAGUCGCGUGAAGGAAGAAGGAUCUAUGGUUCGUAAACUUCUUUUGCAGGGGAAUAAAGUGCAGGACGUGUCCUGUUUUGUAUGUACCCUGAGAAUAAGGAUCGGCUAACUCCGUGCCAGCCGCCGC